AGCGAACGCUGGCGGCAUGCCUAACACAUGCAAGUCGCACGGGGGGGCUUCGGCCUCCCAGUGGCGGACGGGGGAGGAAAGCGUAGGGACCUGUCGAGGGGUGGGGGAUAACCGCGGGAAACUGCGGCUAAUACCGCAUGACGCCGCGGCGUGACAGCCGGGGCCACAGGCGAGAGCCGCCCGCCGAGGGGCCUGCGUCCGAUUAGCUGGUUGGCGGGGUAGCGGCCCACCAAGGCGUCGAAAGGUAGCUGGGCUGAGAGGGUGAUCAGCCACACCGGGAGUGAGACACGGCCCGGACUCCUACGGGAGGCAGCAGUGGGGAAUAUUGGACGAUGGGCGCAAGCCUGAUGCAGCAAUGCCGCGUGGGUGAAGAAGGUCUGCGGAUUGUAAAGCCCUUUCGGCGGGGACGAUGGUGACGGUACCCGCAGAAGAAGCCCCGGCUAACUUCGUG
rnacentral:rRNA from 1 species